GCGGCCCGGAGGCGAUCUGUGCGCGAGGAGGCGCUGUGAAGACUGAGGCACAGCCCCUCCGAGGAAAGCCGAGAUUGUACGUUUCCUUGCCGGCUGAGCCGCGGCUCGUCCCCCGGAGCGACACAAAGAAGAAGUGGCCUUGCAUCCUGCUCCGCCUCCCGAGCCGGGUCCUUGGUCCCCGGAAGCCCUGGGCUGCCCCACUGGAGUUACCUUCUGUGCGUUCUCUCCUAAACCUACACGUUAUUCACGACUUUGUUCAUGACUAUGGAAAACAAAACAAAAACAAAAACCAAACCAAAGUUCCCUCGCCUGGCGAUGGUGCAAGCCUGUCUACCUGCUGGAGGAUGGUUGGAAUGUGCACACCUGGCUCGACCAAAAGAGGCACAGCUUAGGGGCGGCUUGGACCCAGCUCAAGUCUGGACUUGGCAGCUUUCCUGAGCCUGCCUAGGAAAGCAGGCUGGAGUGCAGGUGUCCCAGGGCUCUCUGGAGGAGCAGCAGCAACACCAUGCCUGGCUCUGGUGCCUUGGUCUCCUCGGAGAGGACACUUGAAGGAAUGGCACUCAGCAGAGUACAGGCCCCGUAACAGUGCAGCGCAGCGACAUCAGCUGAGGACUGGACAGAAUGGUCCUGAUGUUUGGCAGUGAUCCGUACUUGGAUAACCCUCUGCAUGAAAGGGCAGUGAGCCAGGAACCUCAAGCCACCCGGGAGCAGGUGCCUACUUGGCGUUUUCUGAGACGAAAGGCAGCGGAGUGUGUAGCAAAGGUGGCGCUGGCUCUUGCUGCUUCUGAAGCUCCAUCUCGGCAGCCCUCUGCAGCGCCACCUCCACCAGCAACUGGAAGCUGCUGAAGUCAUCCUUGUCCUGCUCUGGGGGUGUGGGUGGUGGCGUAUUGAAGAGUCCACCCGUGGGGCUUCCAGCCUCUGCCCUAGUCAGCAGGGGUCACUGUAAAGCUCUGGCUGUUCUGGAACUCACUAUGUAGACCAAGGUGGCCUCAAAUGCUUCUUCUCCCUGAUUCCCAGGAUUAAAGCCACCAUGCUUGGGCUGGAGAGAUGGCUCACUGAUGUAAGAGCACUGAUUGCUCUUCCAGAGGUCCUGAGUUCAAAUCCCAGCAACCACGUGGUGGCUCACAACCAUCUAUAAAAAGGAUCUGAUGCCCUCUUCUGGUGUCUGAAGACAGCUACAGUGUACUCAUAUAAAU
ensembl:processed_transcript 5430405H02Rik RIKEN cDNA 5430405H02 gene